GUCGGUACCUGGCGAGGAGGAUGGGGGCGCUGUGAGCUGGUGGCUGGACAGGUGUUAGGGGCUGUCACAUGGUCUCAGGCAGCUGGGAGAAGCCAGAAGAGGGGUAGGCGCUGGGAGGAAAAGUGCCUUUGACCUCUGGAAAAGAAACUUCGAGAAGGCAGGUGCAAUGGUGGUGGUGGGCUGUCUCCCCAGUCCCGUGAUGGAAAGGAGCAGAUCUACCCAGUGCUGGUGUCUUCACUACACCAUGGGGACGCAAGGAUCCGUUGAGGUUUUCCCCCAGGCCGCUAAAGAAUCUCUUUCCUUUUCCUUUGAUUACCUCUACACGUGUUACCUUCCGUGGCCCACACCUUGUUACGCAGGUAGAAUGCUUUAACUCUUAACAGAAAACAAAAGAUGGCCAAGAAGCCAGGAACAUGCCGGGUUGUUUAACAAAUGUACACAAGCUCUUUCCUCUAAUACAGCGACAGAUGUAUCUUUACUACUGCGGUAUUUUAACCGCACAAAAUUAAGGGCACGUGUAGAACUGAAGAAAAACAGAACACAGCCACUGAAUUAAAUGUAAACUAAAGAAACAAGCAGAUGCUUAUAAUAAAAUAUAUUUUGGUGAUCUUAUGUUAAUUUAAAUGUCUUGAGAAUAAUAAGCGUGCUUCUCCAAGAGUAACGUUGGUUAAACAUUGGUUUUGUUUCAUUAAAAACAAACAACUUUUGCCAUAGAACAGGUUCAUGCUAAAAUGUUUUAAGUCCUGUUCUGUAACCUAGCAUUUAAGACUGUACAAUUUGUACAGCUCAGCUCUGAGUAGCUCCCUUAGAAUUGCAGGAAGAACACGGGAAUACAGGCCCUUAUCCUUAGAGAGGGCUGUGGUCUAGCUGCUGGAGCUGGGUGGCCCAAGUGAUGGAGAAAGGGGUGGUCCAGGUGCUGGAAGAGAAGCCCGGCACGUCCAGGAGAGAAACCCUGCUCUUAAGACUGGAUAAACACCAGUGGUUCCUUUCUUCAGUACCUAGAAUCAAUCAAUCAAUCAAUCAAUCAAUCAAUCAAGUAUUUAUUUAUUUAUGUUUUUCCAGACAGGGUUUCUCUGUACAGCCCUGGCUGUCCUGGAACUCACUCUGUAGACUAGGUUGUCCUUGAACUCAGAAAUCUGCCUGCCUCUGCCUCUGUCUCCCAAGUGCUGGGAUUCAAGGCAUGCGCCACCACUGCCCAGCCCUGGAAUCAUUUUUUAAAGAAGGUAUUUUCUCCCCUUGACCAUUCACUUUAGAUAAUUAUGGCAGUAUUUCAAAUGUUUACUGAAACACCACUACUCUCAAUGCAUUGUUUUUCAAAGUUGAAUUUAUUUCCUGUUAUCUUAUAUACAUUGGUGUUUUUUUCCUCCCUGCGUGUCUGUGUGAGGGUGUCAGAUCCCCCUGGAAAUGGAGUAACAUAGACAGUUGUGAGCUGCUAUGUGGGUGCUGGUAAUUGAAUCCAGGUUCUCUGGAAGAGCAACCAGCGAGCCCUCUUAACUGCUGAGCCACCUCUCCAGCCCUCUCAAUGCAUUAUUUUAAUCAUAUUUUAGAUUUUUUUUGUAUUGAACACACAUUAGUUUUAUUUCGGUCCUCUUCAUCCCUGUAAUUAUAAAAUGUGGGUCAGACGCCUGGACCAAGGACUCAGCCAUUUAGAGCACCGAGUGCUUUUCCAGAGGACUAUGGCUCAAUUCCCUGCACUCACAUGGUGGCUCGCAAUCCUCUGCAACUUCAGUUCCAGGGGAUCCAAUCCCAUCUUCUGACUUCCUCAGGCAACGCCCGGAUGCAGCGCCCAGACAUACAUGCAGCCAAAUUACCCAUCCACAUAAAAUAAAAAACAAACCUAAAGCAAAAACUUUUUAGUGGGUCAGGUUUUUAAAUGAUGCCAUUUCAGUUCCUUCUUAAUUUGUGCACGGCUAAGCUGUGAACUCCCGAAUGGUGAGGCUCUCACUGUGCGUGUUUUGUCUAAACAUACAAACUCAUCACAGGCUCUGGAACCCUCUGGGUCCAAGAUAAGCUUAGAGUCCCCGCUUCAAGCAUUUCUUAUAAUACAGCUUUUAAUAUUAUGGUUUAGAUGUUUCAAUAAUCAUGUCUUGUUGAGCUGAGUUUAAUAUGAGUCUUCACUUAUGGUACUGCUUUAGAAUGCAUAGAAACCAGAUUUUAAUAAAACUUUACUGUCUGAUUUAUUUUCAAUUUCAAAGUAGUGCCUGGCCAUGGUAUAUUUCAAAUAAAUACAACCCAGUGGUCCAGAAGUGCAAUGAAAAAGCAAAGGAUUCUUUAUCCUCGCAGGGUACAACUGCGUUUGAUGCUUUCCACAAGCUUCCAAUCUGUUUCUGAAAUAGGAUGUGUAGCACAAUUAAAAUUGGAAACAUUAGCAAGAUUAGUGAAGUAAUCCCUUAAGUAGUUAUUUUGUUUCCUUUCUAACCUGAUUAUUACCUGUCACAGCAGUGCCAUCCACAACUUGUGCAAUAUUCUUCCUGAGAACUUUGCCAUGAAAGUUGGCAGAGCUUCCUGACAGACCAUCUUGCCUUCGAUUUGAUUGACAGCAAGAGAAGGAAGGACCCCACACAAGCUCAUGGACUCCUUCAGUUAUUUCCUGCUCUUGUCGCCGGCCUGGGGCUCUUGGAUGUCAGGAAUCACGUCUUCCUUAAAUUG
rnacentral:lncRNA from 1 species